rnacentral:lncRNA from 1 species
UUUCUUUUCAUGAAAUGAUGCUUUCUCAACCGCUGCUGUCACUUCAGGGAUAUUAUUUGCUUUAAGCAGUUGUAGUCCAUGAAGAUAAUAUAGCUUAUGUCUUAGUCUCCUUGCUUAGCAUUGGGCUGUGCACAAAGAAGGGCCUUAAUAAAUAUUAGUAGAUGUGAUUUAAUAUGGCGUCUUAGCUAACAGCCCUCAUGGCACAGUUUACAUAAGAAUGCAAGCCCUCUCUAGCUUUAAAAUUAAAUAGUCACAAAUAGAUGCAGUAUACACACAUAAUUCUAUGCUCAGAUAUGCAUUCAUGCACGCACACAGAUGGCACCUAAGCAAAUGCACAUGGCAUGCAGACAAGCGUGGCCAUGCACACCCACUUGCAGACUUUCACUUCCCCCUCCCUGUAAUCAAGAAGAUGGAGGAAGAAUCCGCCUGUAGGAUGAGUCACAGAGGCAGUCGGGAUAAAGGGCAGGAUUCAGCAUCCCUGGGGAAUCUUUAUUUAUAGCACUGGCUGCUAGGAAGGGGGCUGAAAUCAUUCCUAAGGAGCUUCAGUUGAUGGAGAGUGAUAAGAUAACCAAGAGAUGUCAUUCCCACCAUCACGCUCUCUUAGAAGCAGACGCCUGUUGCUGCCUGAGCCCAGUGAAGUGCUGUGUCACUCCAGGGCUGUGGUCCAUGGGGAGGGGUUGCUGACUGCAUUCUAGCCGGUCCAUCGGCAGGGGCUGCUGGGCCCCUUUCCCUGGUGUGCAAUCUCUAUGCUAAUCCGAGCAAAUCCUCCCAGCUCCAAACAAACAGAAACCUUUGGGCCUGCAGAGGCCACUGAUCACAGAGGAUACUGUUUAGAUUAAAAUGAUACAGUCUAAUCCACUGGCCCAAUGGUCCUACCUCCGUCAACGGUGUGGUUCCUGUAAUGAGCAGAGUAAGUGGCAAUGCAACACCAGGCUCAACCUGCCCUCCCAAGGGCCAGGGCUGGGUAGAAAGAAGUUAGCUCUUUGCUGGGCUUUGAGGGACACUGGCCAAGUCUGGAAGGAGAGGUGGGCAGUGAGGUAUUUAACUGAAGACUCUGGGUCUCAUCUCCUGUUGUACUUGAGUCACCCAGAAUACUGUUUGAUAUAGAGGCAGUACCUAGAAUACCUUAGCUGACAACUGGACACAUGCAUGAUCUCUUUAAUUCUCUAGUAUAUGAGGAUGCCAGUUAAUGGUUCUUAGGUAAGAUGCAUGCUAGAGAGAAAAGAACAUUUUCAAGAAGGCCAGGAAGACCAGAGCGCUAAUCCUGCCUCUUCUCCUAGAAGACUUUGGGUAGUUCACGCCUCAGUUUGCUGAUCUAUGAAAUGGGAACUCACUGAUACCUACUAUGUUUGUGGGGCUGUGUUAAGGAUUACAGAUGAUACUUCACUCUGUUAUGUGCUACCUAAGAGAUAUAUGCUACUAUCAUCCAAUAACACUUUAGUUGAAUUAAGUGGCCAGAUUGCACCUGACAGGGAACAGGGGAUAGCCCCCUCCCCAAGACUGUCUGGGACUGUUUGUUCUACUGGUCCCUUACUUUUGAGCCCUUCUGAGUGGCCUGGAACCCUGCUCUGAGUGUAGUUCUCCUCUUAGCUCUCAUGGUUCUCAGUUGGCUCAGGUGUGAGCCUAGACUUAGCUGAGGUGGGAGAUCCCUUGAACUGGAUACUUGCCAUUUAGUGAGACCCUGUGUCCUGCUCUCACAUGCUCUUCCUCUUGGCUCUUAACCUUCACUUUGGCUCCUGGCCCUGAAUGUGGCAUAGGUAAGAGCUGCUGCUUAUCUUUGAACCCUUAAUUCAAGUGGGUCAUUCCGGGCUUGCUGGUCCUGACCAUCUGGACAUGUCAGGGUUGCCUGAUGCUGAUCUGGUGACUGGUCUUGCCAGUUCCCUCCUCUGACUCUCAGAUCUAGUUCAGCCCUGGAGUCCUGACAGGACCAAGCUGAAGAGCUCUGAACCUGUUCUAGGAUACAGAGCACCUAGCUUGAGCCAGCACUUGAGCCUUGAAGUUUUUUCUGGGAGGAAGUCAGAGGGCAAGGGAGAGUAGAAAGUGACUCUGGGGAGAAAAUGAAGAAUGAAGAAGUAGAGGACAGUCACUUUGUGAUAUAAUACCCAUCCUUAUCCUCAGGAUGAAUAAUGGUCAUUCCAGCUACCAUUAAAACACCACUUCUUAGACUGAAAGAAUAACAGAGUGGUCACUAAAAGCUUAAGGUUUUAGACCUGAGCUUGAAACCUGGCUCUGUCACUAGCUAGUUCAGACAUGUUGCACUGUCUUUCUGAGCUUCAGGUUUCUUAGUUGUACAAUGCUGUCAGGAACAGUACCUUCCUCCUAGGGCUGUUGGGAGCAUUAAAUGAGAUGAUGGAUGGAAAGCACUUGGCACAGUUCCUAGCACACAGUAGGCAGUCUAUAAAAUGGUGAGUAUGAUGACAAAUUUGUUCUUUGAUCCCUGCACUGGUGGCUACUCAGGGUUGUCAGGAGUAUCUGAUACGAUAGUGAAUUUGGAAGUGUUUAGGAGCCUGGAGAGUAUGAUGUCAAUACAGAGCAUUGAAAUAAUUAUUUCAUUUCUUAGUUUUUGAAAUCUGCUAACUGAUGUGCUGUUGGACGUGGAUUGGGCACCUGGCACAGAGAGGGAAUAAAGGACACUCCCAGACUAGGCUCAUGUAUGACAUUUUGGUCUGGUGCAAUGGGAUGGAAGCAGCUUUGACAGGGUCUUCCUAUAGUCCCAGGGCCAUCUGGGGCCACCAACAUCACCCAGUCCUUCCAGCUUAGCAGAGUGUGUUGUAAGUGGGGAAGGCACCUUGGACCAGGAGUUAAAGCUUUAUUUGUGAACCAUUCCCAGAGUCUAUGGCUCUGAGGCUGUCUGGGACUAAUGGAGCCAAGGAAGAGGUGACAAGGGACCAGGCAACAAGCCCUGAUUUAUGACCUGAGGCUCUAAUUCCAGAAGCUGCAUCAUCAGUUCCUUUGGGAAAGAGCCUUAGGCAGAUGAAUGGCCCUUCCAGCUGCAGGACUGAGUCCCAGGCCUGCUCCCAUGGGCAAUUGCUUUUUACGCAUGCCUUAGGGAGAAGAAAACAUGGACAGCAAAUUCUGGGACUGUGUCAGGAUGGAACCUGCCCUCCUAUUGGCCAGGAGAACACAAGCACUAGGCCCCUAACUGUGGCAAGGGGUGGUAGAGUUCAUGGCAAGAUGAUCCUACUGUCAGCUGGGCAAAAUGGAGUGCAUAAGAAGAGAAAAGUGAUUAUUUUGUAUCCCAGGCUCAUUGUAGAAACCCUAUAGACAUUGCAGGGGUUGAUUCUGCUCAGCCUUGUUUCAAUUCUUCCCCAGCAUCCCAGCUGACAUAGGGUCAUUUUAAUACAAUCAUGCCCUUGUAUGGCCAUGCCUUUCAUAGGUGGUAGGUGUUACAAAAGGUCACCGUCAAUUUCUCCACUAAGUUCCAUUACCAGAGGUUCCCUUCUCUUAUCCUUGCAUCACUAUGGUUCAGGCUCUAAGAACAGGAGUGAGGAGAAUUUUGUCCUACCAAACAUCCAUGAGGCUAGGAAGUCCUAUGUGACUUCAUUAGUGCUGAGGAGACACAAAUGUUAUCUGGGAUCAAGCCUCCCGAGUCUUAUCCAGUUCAAUAAGUGCUCAUUUCUUUUCAGCAGAAUAAAAAUAUCCUAUAAAAAAAGACACUGUUUGAAGAAAGAGGCUUGCACUGAGGUAAGAGCAUUUCUGUGCUAAGAGCAUUGUGGAGGGUGGGUAAGUUCAAACACAUACCCCUAUUGAAGGUGAUGGACAUUUUAGACCCUUGCCAAACUAACCUGUGGACUCUGCUCCCCCAAGCAAGUCUAGAGUCCUUGUGUCCCUGUGUGAUCCAGGAAAGUGGCUUAAUUUAGUCUAUAGGCCAUAAAAUUGGACAUCUUCACGUUUGCUUCUAGGUCAUCAAAAAGUUUCCAGAGUGCCUCUGUUGAAAGACGUCAGAGAAGAGCUAACAUGGACUUCAUGCAGUGUACUGUACACAGUCCAGCGAUGCCCUUCGAUGACAGGGGAGGAUGAGUCACCACCGGCUUCGGGGAUUGAGAAGAAAUGUCAGUGCAGUCAUGAAUAAUAGGUGCUGUACUAACACCUAAGAAGGUUAAGGGCAGGAAUUAGUUGGCAAGGAAGAAAACAGUAUGUGGGGGAGGCCAGCUACCAUCCUACAGAACUUCUGUAGCUCACUGCCAUCUGAUUGGAUAGCCAAGGAAAAAAGGGAUUCUCUUUCAUAUUAAAGGAAAAAAUAUUGGUGUGUUGGAGAGAAGGGUCCUUUUUCAAGGGUGGAGAGGUGGACUUGAUGGCUUCUAGAAGCCACUUCAUUAUGGCCAGGAGAGCUAGCAGGCAGAAAUUGAUGAGUUUAAGCACUUUUCUAAGCAUUUUGGGUGCCUCAAAAGGACAUUCUGCAAAAAAGGCAUAGCCCAAACUUGGCUAUAUCCAGGUAGACCUUAACAUGAAGAAGUGCUAUGGACCCUAACAGGAAGAAGUACUAGGAUGUGUUUCAGUCCUCACAAUUAAGAAAGUAAGUGGUUCAGAAGACAGUCCCUACCCUCUGCAUAAGAAACAGGAGGUGAAGUUAAAGAGCUGGGGAUAGUAUUUCUACAGACCUUUUCUUUUUAUAUAAUUAUUUUUAUUUUUUUCCAUUAUAGCUGGUUUACAGUGUUCUGUCAAUUUUCUGCUGUACA